GAGUUGCUUCUCUUUGAAGCCAUUUCAGCCUUAAAAUAGCACUUGAUUGUACUUGAGAGGGGGAGAACGCAUGAAUGAAAUUUGAGGGUUUCUUUUAUGUGAGAGCUUCACCUUUGUUCUUGGAUUAGAACUUGAUAGUGUUGGUUCUACCGGCAGGUCGCGGUUAGGGUCACGCUUCUUUUGAUAACUUUGGUUCUACCGGCAGGUCGCGGUUAGGGUCAAGUUCCUCAUUCUCUACCUGUUUCCAGGACGGUCCGAAGUGUGCUCUUAUCAAAAUCU
rnacentral:lncRNA from 1 species